ensembl:misc_RNA Metazoa_SRP Metazoan signal recognition particle RNA
GCUGGGUGUGGUGGCGGGCGCCUGUAAUCCCAGCUACUUGGGAGGCUGAGGCAGGAGAAUUGCUUGAACCUAGGAGGCAGAGGUUGCAGUGAGCCAAGAUUGCGCCACUACACUCCAGCCUGGGUGACACAGCAAGAUUCUGUCUCAA